rnacentral:rRNA from 1 species
CGAAGGGGGCUAGCGUUGUUCGGAAUUACUGGGCGUAAAGCGAGUGUAGGUGGUUGUCCAAGUUGGAUGUGAAAGCCUUGAGCUUAACUCAAGAAAUGCAUUCAGGACUGGGCGACUAGAGGACCGGAGAGGAUAGUGGAAUUCCCAGUGUAGUGGUGAAAUACGUAGAGAUUGGGAAGAACACCAGUGGCGAAGGCGGCUAUCUGGACGGUUUCUGACACUAAGACUCGAAAGCGUGGGGAGCAAACAGGAUUAGAUACCCUGGUAGUCCACGCCGUAAACGAUGGGUGCUAGACGUUGGCGAGCUUGCUCGUCAGUGUCGCAGCUAACGCGUUAAGCACCCCGCCUGGGGAGUACGGCCGCAAGGUUG